GUUGGUCCGAGAGUAGUGGUGUU
rnacentral:piRNA from 2 species